UACGGAGGGAGCUAGCGUUGUUCGGAAUUACUGGGCGUAAAGCGCGCGUAGGCGGCUUUGUAAGUUAGAGGUGAAAGCCCGGGGCUCAACCCCGGAAUUGCCUUUAAGACUGCAUCGCUUGAAUCCGGGAGAGGUGAGUGGAAUCCGAGUGUAGAGGUGAAAUGCGUAGAUAUCAGGAGGAACACCGAUGGCGAAGGCAGGUCUCUGGGCUGACACUGACGCUCGAUGACACGAAAGCGUGGGGAGCAAACAGG
rnacentral:rRNA from 1 species